GUGUUUCGCUGAUCUGUUGGCUGGGAUCAGAUCAUCCAUUUGGGGAUUUAGAUAUGUUACCCCAGCCAACAGGCUGCAUGUUUAAUUUUACUCAAUACUAAGCUUUGUUUUAGUGCGAACAUCAACAUGUUUAUCUAAUUGCAGUUGCUGCUUGGGACAAUAAAGUUAAGUCAGCAACCGUCUACCAGACUGCAAGAUUCAUCUCUUCCAAAGGAUGUCGUACCUUUCCAGAUACACUGUGUUUUGUGUGGAUAAGAAAUGCAGAGUGGUACCACCAAUCACCUAAGCCACCAUUCCCCUAAUAGACAAUAGGCUCAUGGGGACAGUUCCUGCAAUUUACAGAAAAGCUCUCAAUUGUAGCCCUACGAACUUCAGAUACUGCCGAUGGUGAAGCUUGGGUGCACCGGGCCGGUUUUCCAGCCGUGUGGAAUCAACAUCUCCAGCUGAACUGAGACUGGAAAUUAUAUAAGACUCCUUAGC